rnacentral:rRNA from 1 species
GACGAACGCUGGCGGCGUGCUUAACACAUGCAAGUCGAACGGAAAGGCCCUGCUUUUGUGGGUUGCUCGAGUGGCGAACGGGUGAGUAACACGUGAGUAACCUGCCCUUGACUUUGGGAUAACUUCAGGAAACUGGGGCUAAUACCGGAUAGGAGCUCCUGCUGCAUGGUGGGGGUUGGAAAGUUUCGGCGGUUGGGGAUGGACUCGCGGCUUAUCAGCUUGUUGGUGGGGUAGUGGCUUACCAAGGCUUUGACGGGUAGGCGGCCUGUGAGGGUGACCGGCCACAUUGGGACUGAGAGACGGCCCAGACUGCUACGGGAGGCAACAGGGGGGAAUAUGACACAGUGAGGGGAAGUCUGAGGAAGAAACGCCGCGUGCGGGAUGACGGCCUUCGGGUGGUAAACCGAUUUCGCCUGAGACGAAGCGUGAGUGACGGUAAUGGGUAAAGAAGCACCGGCUAACUACGUG